ensembl:lncRNA
AUUAAUAAUAAACAAUGACAGAUUGAAUCUAGAACCAGAUCUAUUAUCACUGUAUUGUCUGCCUCAUACAAUAGCAGUGACCAUAUUCUUUCUAACUGCUUAGAAUGUGCUGGGCAUAUUGCUUCGUGUGAAUGACCUCACUUAACCUUGGAAUAUUCUCCUAUGAGGAGGGUGCCAUUUUUACUCCUGUUUUAUAGAUAAGGAAAAUAAGGCUCAGAGAGGUGAAGACACUUGCCUAAGCAUGCACAGCUAAUAAGUGACAGGUGGCAUCGACUCCAGAGUACACAGUCCUAAGCUUCUGUGCUGGACUGCUUCCUUGUAUAAGGAGACUCCAAGGAGAAAUCAGUGUCCAAUAUUUAAUCAUUUGUCUGGUAAUUCUUAAUAUCUGAGAAUUAAGAAUUAAAUAGCCUGUAAUGAAUCAAACACCUGCAAAUUUGAAAGAGCAGAUAUCCCCAUAUUCUUCAGGUGGCCAUGUGUCCCAGCACAGCAUAGCCACGUGGACACAGGUAGCUCGUCAUCUCUCAGACACGACACGACCUCUACUGAAACACUGAAAUACAGCCCAGUGGUGGAGCUGAUGUUGACAAUGAUGACUUGACUUUUUAAAUCCUGUUUAAGGAAGCAGGGGUGAGAACAACAUGUUGUAGAAAGAACAUUAUUUUUCUUUUUAAAGGUAACUUUUUAGAGUGCUGCUGCUUAAAUCUACAGUUGCUCAUUUCCGUAUGAGCUCAUGAGUCUGGAGGAAUAAGGUCUUGUGUGUACUCUGUACAGAAAUCUAAGAUGAUGUGUAUAAUCUGAUAGCAUAGUGACCAUUUUAUUGCUCAUGCUGGCACCUGUAUCCCAAAGCUUAUUGCUACAGGACUGCAAGAUGAUGCCACAUAAACACACACAUCAACAUAUAUAUAUACACACCUAUGUAUAUACACAUACAUGUGCGCACUCACACAUUUAUAUACUUAGCUCUAUUCACAGUAACUGAAAUGCUGAGAUGGCAAGUUACUAUGAAAACCCAGCUGUUUACACUACAUAUUUUAAAAUAGUCUGUGGCAUUUCUACCAUUCAUAUGAUACUCAUGACACUGUCUUGCAUCAUAUGAAUGGUAGAAAUGCUUGCUGCGUGUUUGUACGCAGCCUCAUAUAGUAGCGUGGGAAGAGAAAGGAAUCUGGCAGACCUGAGUGGAGACCCCGGCCCUAUCCCUUACCAGCUGGGGCAUCUUGGGCAGUUUGUUCGACCCCACUGAGCUCCUGUAAACAUGCUUAAUCAUAGUUUUGGAGGAGUUGCUUAUCCUGAAUGAGGACCUCCAUUUCCAUAGAGAAGGCAGCUUCCAUUCCAUCCCUAGGAAAGGGAAAGUAGAAGCAGAAGACCUCUGCUUUCUGUCCACUCGCUCCUUCAUGCCUCCCAAAGGACCAGCCGUGCCUUCCCUGCUUGCUGCGUGGGCGUGGAGGAGCUGUCCCAGUGUUCCGCCUUGUCCAGGAGUUCGCUUUUGCGUCUGCUUGCUUAAAGGACACACGUGUUCUUCACCUGCCUUUGUGCAGAAAUCCCUCUGCAAGGGAGUUAGGGGAGGGAAGGUUGUAGGAAGCCUGAUUCUGGCCACAUGCUGGCAUUUUCUCUCGUCCAGCUUCAUCAGCAAUAAAGCUGAGCAUUUGAUCUCUCUGUCUGAUUUUUGUAUGGUUCUCUCAACUGGCUCUGGACUUGGAGGUGUGGCAGGGAGUGGUCAUCACGCGCUAACACUCCAGCGUUUCAUAAGGCUAAUGUGAUGGUUAAAAUGAGAACACGGAUGUUGAGAUUCCAACACAGUGUGUUACACACGGUUGAUGUUGGGUGACUGUCAGAUGUUCCCUCCCAUCUAUGACUGCACACUGAACAUGGCACAACUGGCUUCUUACAAAUGGCUCUCUUUUCCUCCUCCCCCAGUACUUAGCAUAGAGCCUCAGGUAGGAGCUGAAUAAGACUUUUAAGAGCCAGAAGAGACUUAACUAAUUGAUUAGUCAAAUUCCCUCAUUUUCCAUAUGGGAAAUUUGAGGACCAGAGAUGCUACAUGCCUUGCCUUAGAUCACACAGCUAGUAAGGACACUCCUGGGCUCUAAACAGGUCUUGUCACUGAAUGCUGCAUGAUUUCACAGAACAAAGGGGAACCAUAUCCUCUAUACAGGGUAAAUUACAAGGCUGCCCAAGACCUGAGAGCUUUGUCAAGGUAAAGUGUUUCCAUUUUGAGAGAAGAAUAAGAGAGCUCCCAAAAUACUUUUCUUCUGACCUACUUAGCUAUCAUUCGUCUCCCUCCCACCCUGCCCUCAUCACCAAUUGCUCUGCUUGGAAAAUUCUGUUGUAGUUUACCGUCUCUCUUUGGCUCUAGUUUUAAAGAUGUUCUCACGUGGAGCAGGGACUUAAGAAAACAUGCCAGGGGAAGGCUCUGAGAGACAGCAAGACCACAUUAUGCCUGCACUUUACCUCUCUGAGUGUCUUGAUAUAUCCGGUCCACUUGGAGAAAUGCGACUGAGGACAGUGGAAGGGCUAUGAUAGGACCUUUUCUGUCCUUAUGGAGUCCUUUCUCCAUAGGUCUAAAUGGUACCAUGAUGAUUACUUGCCCUCGCGGUUAUCAGUCAGAGGCCAGCUCUAGAGAGAUGAUGCUCACAGAAAGCAGAAUGAAACCAAGAGACUUCCAGACGUCUCACUUCUGCCAUCCGAUGCCCUGCUGCUCUUUUUGUCUGGAAUGUUCUUUCUCCACCUGAUUUUCCUGGAUCUGGAUCCACCUAUUUAUUCCUCAAAACCGAUUCCUUGAUGAAACUUGCUCCCUCCUUGGUACUGUCAUUGCAAUUUCUGUGUUAUAUUUGGUGCAAUAUUUAAGCUAUUUUGCUGUGGUUAAUUGUUUAUAUGUCUCUAUCUUGCAGAAAUGCAUUAGUCUUUAAUAACGAUCACAAAAAUCCUAUCCUCCCCAUUUUAUAGACAAGAACGUGAAGUUCAGAGAGGUUCCAUGACUUACUCAAGUUCACCUGGCUAGUAAGUAAUGGGGCAAACGAGCACAGGGAGGUCAGCCCCAAAGUCCGUUCUCUCCACCAUGGGGUGAAGCUGCCUUUUUACAACAAAGGAUCCAAAGGUGAGAAUGCGUUUUAUCCUCAGCUAAUUCUUCAUACCAAUGGCUAGUUACUAACUCCCGUUGAUAGAAUGCUUGUGAUUUACAGUGAUCUUAUUGGACUGUGAAGCCGCAAGGCAGGGAUGCUCUACAGUUCUGAAGUUCAUUGCUUUGCAGUUGAGGAGUGGAGGCUCAAAGAAGGGACUUGCCAAAGAGCCAUCCUGCUAUUUUGCAGCAGUUAGAAAUUUGUGGGAAAUUAAACGCACAUCUAACUCCAAAUCCCUUUGCCGUGUUGCAACAAUUAAUUCGGAUCCACAGUCCAUUUAGCAUGCAGUAGUGGCAGAGUCUACAGAUAAAUGAACUGGGCAUGGUACUUGGGAAACCAAGACAUUGUUUUUGAUUCCAGUGUUGUCAGGCUUUUCCUCCUUUGGCCAUGGUGGGUACAGUGAACAGUGUUGCACAUUGAAGUCAAGUGGGAGAAUCCUAGACCUCAGGAUGUGAUCAGGAACAGUCAUUUGUCUUCCAUGGAUUGAUCAUAUUGUUACAUGAGUUGACUUGGUGUUACAGAGUGGCAUUCUCACUCCUUUUAUUUUUCUUCCAACACACACAUGACACACUUGUGGGAGAGCUCAGAGAUAUGCAUAAUUUCCCAUGUUCUAAUUUUAACUUGACCUUCUUCUACUCAAGACAGCAAGGAAAGGAGUGAGAAGGAUAUUAGAAGAAAACACAAUCUUUUAUUUAUUUGAAUGGUAUUUCUUUUUGUCAAGUUUGGUACCUUAGAGGAAGCCUCUGACUCAUCUCACAACACAUUGGGACAUACCUGUGUCAUGUGUUGCAGUCCUGGAGAAUAGAAGGCUAAUUAUGGCCGGGCUCUGUCCUCAAGCAGCUCACAUUGGGUGGGGCAAGCAGACAUGGACCGUUGACUAUCACUCAAGACAGGAAGUCCUAGUACCAAGGAUUUUGUACUGGGGGUGCAAAGAAGGG